rnacentral:rRNA from 1 species
UACGAAGGGGGGCUAGCGUUGCUCGGAAUCACUGGGCGUAAAGCGCACGUAGGCGGCUUCUUAAGUCAGGGGUGAAAUCCUGGAGCUCAACUCCAGAACUGCCUUUGAUACUGAGGAGCUCGAGUCCGGAAGAGGUGAGUGGAACUGCGAGUGUGGAGGUGAAAUUCGUAGAUAUUCGCAAGAACACCAGUGGCGAAGGCGGCUCACUGGUCCGGUACUGACGCUGAGGUGCGAAAGCGUGGGGAGCAAACAGG